GACGAACCGUGCGAACGUUGUUCGGAAUCACUGGGCUUAAAGGGCGCGUAGGCGGACGACCAAGUCGGGGGUGAAAUCUUUCGGCUCAACCGGAAAAUAGCCUUCGAUACUGGCCGUCUGGAGGGAGGUAGGGGCGUGUGGAACUUCCGGUGGAGCGGUGAAAUGCGUUGAUAUCUGGAGGAACACCGGUGGCGAAGGCGGCAUCCUGGACCAAUUCUGACACUGAGGAGCGAAAGCCAGGGGAGCAAACAGG
rnacentral:rRNA from 1 species